GUCAGCUUGCCUCUGAUUAUUCAAACAGGCUACUGCUAUUAAGGAUUGCACAACUUCUGGGCAAGGCAGAGUUCUAUUUUAUAACGCACUAGAGGAGACAGAGACGUCAUUGCUUCACCCAGGGCAAGAGGACAAAGGAGGAUGCAUGGAAAUACAAACAGCCCUUCUCCUCCAGGCCAUACCGACUGUCCAGCUAGCAAGAGACUUCACCUGGUUUUGGAGCAAUCUGAAUUUGGAAUAUGCCAGAGAAAACUUCUAUCAGGCACGAUGGUAAGAGUCCAGUGGAUGGAAAAGGGCUCCUCCUUAAAGAUGGUGAUGGAAACGAGCACUGCACAGGGAAACACAAAUCAGGUCCCCUGAAAUCCAGCCCAACCUGGCUAGACCCUCCAGUGCCCAUCAGGGCUUAAGAACAGGUUGCUUCCGUGUCUUUGUUAGGGGGUGGUUAAAAAGGAGUAUGUGCUUAUAGAGUAUGCUGCUGAGCUCCAUGAUUUUGACUUCAUGUCUAACCUGUUGAUGCUACAAAACUCUUUCAAAAACAGUUACCAUGGGAACUUUUCCCUAGCAAGCAUUCUUCAAGAAACGUUACAGGUGCUGGUGAAUUCAAUGCCCUUGGUGUCAAUAAGCUUUUGCUGAGUCUUAGAAUGUGUGGCUUGAACUGAGAGGACUUUCAAACAGAUAAUGCAAAGUUUCCAAUGCAAAUGUCUUCGGGGUUAAGUGUCAGUGAAACGCAGUGGAAGGUAGGGGGGAUAAAAUGAUCUCAGUGUAUAUGGAGGCCCCACUUAAGCAUUCAAAAAACUCUAUAUACAGUGUUUUCAAUGUAUUAUGUAUCAGCAAAACAAAAUACCCCAUAGUGCUAUAAUCAGCUCAGGGGGUCACCUCA